GUACUUGCUUAAACAGCACAUAUUCUAAAAAUUGGAAUGAUACAGAGAAGAUUAGCAUGGCCCCUGUGCCAGAAUGACACACAAAUUCAUGAAGUGUUCUAUAUUUUU
rnacentral:snRNA from 1 species